UGGGUCUUCAUUUUGAUGCAU
rnacentral:misc_RNA from 1 species